rnacentral:rRNA from 1 species
UACGAAGGGGGCUAGCGUUGCUCGGAAUCACUGGGCGUAAAGGGUGCGUAGGCGGGUUUUUAAGUCAGAGGUGAAAUCCUGGAGCUCAACUCCAGAACUGCCUUUGAUACUGAAAGUCUUGAGUAUGGGAGAGGUGAGUGGAACUGCGAGUGUAGAGGUGAAAUUCGUAGAUAUUCGCAAGAACACCAGUGGCGAAGGCGGCUCACUGGCCCAUAACUGACGCUGAGGCACGAAAGCUAGGGGAGCAAACAGG